GACGAACGCUGGCGGCGUGCUUAACACAUGCGAGUCGAGCGGUAAGGCCUUUCGGGGUACACGAGCGGCGAACGGGUGAGUAACACGUGGGUGAUCUGCCCUGCACUUCGGGAUAAGCCUGGGAAACUGGGUCUAAUACCGGAUAUGACCUCCUAUCGCAUGGUGGGUGGUGGAAAGAUUUAUCGGUGCAGGAUGGGCCCGCGGCCUAUCAGCUUGUUGGUGGGGUAAUGGCCUACCAAGGCGACGACGGGUAGCCGACCUGAGAGGGUGACCGGCCACACUGGGACUGAGACACGGCCCAGACUCCUACGGGAGGCAGCAGUGGGGAAUAUUGCACAAUGGGCGAAAGCCUGAUGCAGCGACGCCGCGUGAGGGAUGACGGCCUUCGGGUUGUAAACCUCUUUCAGCAGGGACGAAGCGCAAGUGACGGUACCUGCAGAAGAAGCACCGGCUAACUACGUG
rnacentral:rRNA from 1 species